CAGAACCAGCCUUCAGUCGUGGUUCCCAGGACUUUGGAUGCACAUAAGAACCUAGGUCAUCCGCAGCUUUCUGUAGUCUCGCCACACCUCCCUGAUUUUCCCCAGCCAUUUCUCUUGGAAAUGCCUAUGCAAACUCUGGUGCAAAACGUAAUACCUAAACUUAGAUGUUUGUAACAAUUUAUUUAAAUCUAUUUUACAUU